UUUGCGAUGGACCAUUCAAGUUUCUGCCCCAUCAGCUCGACGGUAGGGUAUUGGCCUACCGAGGCAGCAACGGGUAACGGGGAAUUAGGGUUCGAUUCCGGAGAGGGAGCCUGAGAAACGGCUACCACAUCUAAGGAAGGCAGCAGGCGCGCAAAU
rnacentral:rRNA from 1 species